rnacentral:piRNA from 1 species
UGUAAAUCAUAUCCAGCUGCCUCUGAC